rnacentral:rRNA from 1 species
AGCGGCAGGCCUAACACAUGCAAGUCGAGGGGUAACAGGAAGUGCUUGCACUUCGCUGACGACCGGCGCACGGGUGAGUACCGCGUAUACAAUCUGCCUCAUACUAGGGGAUAGCCCGAAGAAAUUUGGAUUAAUACCCUAUAGUAUCUUUUUAAGGCAUCUUAUUAAGAUUAAAGGUUACGGUAUGAGAUGAGUAUGCGUUCUAUUAGCUAGUAGGUGUGGUAACGGCACACCUAGGCUACGAUAGAUAGGGGCCCUGAGAGGGGGAUCCCCCACACUGGUACUGAGACACGGACCAGACUCCUACGGGAGGCAGCAGUGAGGAAUAUUGGACAAUGGGCGAAAGCCUGAUCCAGCCAUGCCGCGUGCAGGAUGACUGCCCUAUGGGUUGUAAACUGCUUUUAUAUAGGAAGAAAAACUUUCUCGUGAGAAAGCUUGACGGUACUAUAAGAAUAAGGAUCGGCUAACUCCGUGCCAGCAGCCGCGGUAAUACGGAGGAUCCAAGCGUUAUCCGGAAUCAUUGGGUUUAAAGGGUCCGUAGGUGGACAAAUAAGUCAGAGGUGAAAUCCUGCAGCUCAACUGUAGAACUGCCUUUGAUACUGUUUGUCUUGAGUUAUUAUGAAGUGGUUAGAAUGUGUAGUGUAGCGGUGAAAUGCAUAGAUAUUACACAGAAUACCGAUUGCGAAGGCAGAUCACUAAUAAUUAACUGACACUGAGGGACGAAAGCGUGGGUAGCGAACAGGAUUAGAUACCCUGGUAGUCCACGCCGUAAACGAUGGUCACUAGCUGUUUGGACUUCGGUCUGAGUGGCUAAGCGAAAGUGAUAAGUGACCCACCUGGGGAGUACGUC